AUGGCCAAAAUCCAGCCCAUUUCUUCUUCUCCCUGCUCCACCUCUUUCUCCGGUGAACAGGAGGGCAGGCAGGCGUACACGGUGUGGAUGAAGUCGCUGCUGUUCAACGGCAAUGGUUGCGCGGUGUACGGCCCCGACGGCGUCGUCGCCUUCCGCGUCGACAACUACGGCUGCAGGGGCGGCCGCGAGGCCCUCCUCAUGGACCGUGAGGGGAACGCACUCAUCAGGAUCAGACGCAAGGGCUUCGGGACGUUCACGAGGUGGGAGGUCUGCCGGUGCGCGCAGGACGGCGGCGAGGAGGAGGCGACGCCAUGGUUCACCGUGCGGCGGGCUGAGAAGGGCGGGGCGGCCGUCGCGAUGAACGGCGGCGCGGGGACGUGUUACAGGGUCGACGGAAGCUGCGCGCGCAAGCCGGCGUACAGAGUUCGCGGCGUGGAUGGCUCCGUUGUGGCGGAGGUGGUACGGAAGCAGACGGCGGCGGGGGUGGAGCUGGGGGAGGACGUGCUGACGCUGACGGUGGCGCCCGAGGCGGAUCACCUGCUCGUCUUGGGUUUGGUCGUCGUGCGUGGUCUCAUCAACCGCUCCUUGUGA
rnacentral:rRNA from 1 species